rnacentral:rRNA from 1 species
AUUGAACGCUGGCGGCAUGCCUUACACAUGCAAGUCGAACGGUAACAGGUCUUCGGAUGCUGACGAGUGGCGAACGGGUGAGUAAUACAUCGGAACGUGCCCGAUCGUGGGGGAUAACGAAGCGAAAGCUUUGCUAAUACCGCAUACGAUCUACGGAUGAAAGCAGGGGACCGCAAGGCCUUGCGCGAACGGAGCGGCCGAUGGCAGAUUAGGUAGUUGGUGGGAUAAAAGCCUACCAAGCCGACGAUCUGUAGCUGGUCUGAGAGGACGACCAGCCACACGGGAAGGGGAAAAGGGCCCAAACCCCAAGGGGAGGAAGAGGGGGGGAAUUUGGGAAAAGGGGGGAAAGCCUAAUCCAGUAAUGCCGGGGGAAGGAGGAAGGCCUUGGGGUUGUAAACUUGUUUGGAAGGGAAGAAAAAGACUUUGGUUAAAACCGGGGGCCAAGGAGGGUACCGAAAAAAAAAGCACGGGCAAACCACGG